CCUACGGGUUGCAGCAGUGGGGAAUAUUGCACAAUGGGCGCAAGCCUGAUGCAGCCAUGCCGCGUGUAUGAAGAAGGCCUUCGGGUUGUAAAGUACUUUCAGCGGGGAGGAAGGCGAUAAGGUUAAUAACCCUGUCGAUUGACAUUACCCGCAGAAGAAGCACCGGCUAACUCCGUGCCAGCAGCCGCGGUAAUACGGAGGGUGCAAGCGUUAAUCGGAAUUACUGGGCGUAAAGCGCACGCAGGCGGUUUGUUAAGUCAGAUGUGAAAUCCCCGGGCUCAACCUGGGAACUGCAUCUGAUACUGGCAAGCUUGAGUCUCGUAGAGGGGGGUAGAAUUCCAGGUGUAGCGGUGAAAUGCGUAGAGAUCUGGAGGAAUACCGGUGGCGAAGGCGGCCCCCUGGACGAAGACUGACGCUCAGGUGCGAAAGCGUGGGGAGCAAACAGGAUUAGAUACCCCAGGUAGUC
rnacentral:rRNA from 1 species